GACCCUUUCGUCUAGCAGGUCAAGGACAUCAUCCUUUCACGAUGGGAACAUGGGUUCAAAUCCCGUAAGGGUCACCA
rnacentral:tRNA from 2 species